rnacentral:sRNA from 1 species
AGAUUCUCCCGGACCCACGUGGAAGCGGCACUCAAGAUGGUAGGAGAAUGAGCUCCUGUUUCGGAGCUGCGCCGCGAGGCCCGCCUGCGCCGCGAGUACCUGUACCGCAAGGCCCGGGAGGAGGCGCAGCGCUCAGCCCAGGAGAGGAAGGAGCGGCUGCGGCGCGCGCUGGAAGAAAACCGCCUGAUUCCCACUGAGAUACGCCGAGAGGCUCUGGCCUUACAGGGGUCCCUGGAGUUUGAUGAUGCCGGAGGUGAAGGUGUGACCAGCCACGUGGAUGAUGAAUACCGAUGGGCAGGAGUCGAGGAUCCCAAGGUUAUGAUCACUACCUCCCGAGACCCCAGUUCCCGCCUCAAGAUGUUUGCAAAGGAGCUGAAGCUGGUGUUCCCGGGCGCCCAGCGAAUGAACCGAGGUCGACAUGAAGUGGGGGCACUGGUGCGAGCCUGCAAAGCCAACGGCGUCACCGAUCUGCUGGUCGUUCACGAGCAUCGGGGCACACCUGGUGAGGCCGGAGGGAGGGAGUCGGGGUGGGAGCCGUCUGAGGGCAGACGGGGUCUCUGACAG